GUGUGUGUGUGUGUUUCAGAUCAAGCACCCCAGCGCUCUGGGCCUGGAGGUCGGGCAGCAGAUUCAGGUGAAGUAUUUCGGCCGCGACCCCACGGAUGGCAGGAUGAGGCUGUCUCGUAAGGUGCUGCAGUCUCCGGCGGCGGCGGCGGUGAGGAGUCUGAGCGACAGACACAGCAUCUCUGUAGGAGCGUCCGGAGAGCAGAGCCCAGACUCAUAGAGCGGCUCACCUGCGCCUUACUGAACACUCUGUAUUUUAUAAUAAACGCUCUUAUUACACA